rnacentral:pre_miRNA from 1 species
CAACUACUCCCUCUGUCCCAAAUUUCUUGUCUUAGAUUUGUCCAGAUACGGAUGUAUCUAAUACUAAAAUGUGACUUGAUACAUCUGUAUCUAGACAAAUCUAAGACAAGAAUUUUGGGACGGAGGGAGUACUUU